rfam:Dipodomys ordii contig_42684, whole genome shotgun sequence.
GGUGGCUCAGUGGUAGAGCACUCGCCUUGCAUGCAUGGAGCCCUGAGUUCGAUUCCUCAGCACCA